CUGAAAUAUGCAAGCAAACCGUACCUGAAAAAUACAAGCAAAACCUCAAAGUUUCAACGAAAAUUUUUUUGGCUGUUUUAAUCCUACUUGACAACCUAACUAUGGAAAUAUUAUCAUUUCCUUCUCGAACAUUUUGGUCUACGAGUAAAAUGCAUGCAAACUUUGUGUUUCGCUGCCAUCUUGGAAAACAUUUUUGAAAAAUUAUCUCGAAGGUCAAUGAACUUUGUGACAUCAUUAGAUGGGUAGCACUAAAACUACAAGAAAGAAUUCUAUUGCGUGC